rnacentral:rRNA from 1 species
CGUAGGUCCGAGCGUUGUCCGGAAUUAUUGGGCGUAAAGAGCUCGUAGGCGGCCUGUCGCGUCUGCUGUGAAAGUCCGGGCUUAACUCCGGGUGUGCAGUGGAUACGGGCAGGCUUGAGGUAGGUAGGGAGACUGGAAUUCCUGGUGUAGCGGUGAAAUGCGCAGAUAUCAGGAGGAACACCGGUGGCGAAGGCGGGUCUCUGGGCCUUACCUGACGCUGAGGAGCGAAAGCGUGGGGAGCGAACAGGAUU